GAUGAACGCUGGCGGCGUGCCUAAUACAUGCAAGUCGAGCGAACAGAUGAGGAGCUUGCUCCUCUGACGUUAGCGGCGGACGGGUGAGAACACGUGGAUAACCUACCUAUAAGACUGGGAUAACUUCGGGAAACCGGAGCUAAUACCGGAUAAUAUAUUGAACCGCAUGGUUCAAUAGUGAAAGACGGUUUUGCUGUCACUUAUAGAUGGAUCCGCGCCGCAUUAGCUAGUUGGUAAGGUAACGGCUUACCAAGGCAACGAUGCGUAGCCGACCUGAGAGGGUGAUCGGCCACACUGGAACUGAGACACGGUCCAGACUCCUACGGGAGGCAGCAGUAGGGAAUCUUCCGCAAUGGGCGAAAGCCUGACGGAGCAACGCCGCGUGAGUGAUGAAGGUCUUCGGAUCGUAAAACUCUGUUAUUAGGGAAGAACAAAUGUGUAAGUAACUAUGCACGUCUUGACGGUACCUAAUCAGAAAGCCACGGCUAGCUACGUG
rnacentral:rRNA from 1 species